rnacentral:lncRNA from 1 species
AGGUUUUUGAAACAGGUUGGAAAAGAUAACAAAUCCUUUUCCAUUCAACGGUCAAGUGACUGCCAGAUAUAUAGAACCUUUUGGAGGCCCAAAUUCCUUAGUCCUCUUCUAAUAGUGAAAUUGGUUCCAAGUGGUUAUUGACAAAAAAAAAAAAACUAAAAACUAAAAUGGCAUCAAAAAUUGUGUGUGAUCAGUGCUCUAAGUCCUUUGAAUUAACAGAGUGGUACGCUCAUUAUGAGGAAUGCUCGGAUCGUAUAAAUGCUUUUGAAGUACUUAUGACCAAAGGGUCAAGCAAAGGGUCAAACUAUCAAGAAUCAUCAACGUCAGGCGCAUCAAAACGUCCUAGAUUGGGGACUUCUCUGGAAAAAGCCAAUAUCACCUGUACAACUUGCGGGGAAAGUUACCCGCCUUCUAGGGAAAUGCGUCAUAUAGUGUCAGAAAAACAUAAGAAUGCAACAGCAGCGCAACUCGAGGAUAAUGCAAAUUUUAUUGUAAUUUCAACAGAGUCGCGAUUUCCUUUAAAAUAAUAUCGUGCUCGCUCUGAUAAAAGUGACCGCCUCGAUUUAAAGAAUUUUAUAAUGAUUGCAAAGCGGACUUAACCAAAUUAGUGCGUUACUGUUUGAGUGAGUACAGGUCGGUGAAGUCGAAAUCUAAAAGUAUAUGGACUGUAUGUCAAACAAACAGAUGAUGAAACCUUAAAGGAAACUAUGAAGCAUUUUGUGACAUCAUAUAAGCCAAUAUAUGCAAAUGAGGAGAUUGAUGAACAUCUGAAUGAUGCCCUUGACCUUUUAAUCACUCUAAGUAGUGAAUUUCAGCAGAAGGAUUCAGAUUGGGCAAUAACAAAAUUUGAAUAUUUUGAGCUGACAAUAAUUAAAU